AAAUUGAAAUUGUGUCUUGAAAAACAGUUUUUGUGCCCACUCGUGCUUCUUAACGUGACUCCUGUUUGGAGAAUUUGCAGAACCAUCUGGCUCCAGAGUCUUCAACUAUUUACAGAGCAGACCCAUAGAGUAAUAAAUUACUCUCUGCCUAUUAUUGUAUUUCCCUUUUUCCUCCCUAAACCGAGGUGUGGGUUACAUUUCUGUGGGUGCACACAUUGCCAUGAGUGCCGCUGCCUAGUGCUUCUGUCAUUGAAGUCUGGUCUCCAAGCCACUGUCCCAAGCCAGCAUGACUCUAGCUGCCUGGAAUUCCAUUCAUCUCUUCGGGAUGGGACGUCAG
rnacentral:lncRNA from 1 species